AACGAACGCUGGCGGCAGGCCUAACACAUGCAAGUCGAGCGAGGACUUCGGUCCUAGCGGCGGACGGGUGAGUAACGCGUGGGAACGUGCCCUUUGCUUCGGAAUAGCCCUGGGAAACUGGGAGUAAUACCGGGUGAGCCCUUUGGGGGAAAGAUUUAUCGGCGAAGGAUCGGCCCGCGUUGGAUUAGGUAGUUGGUGGGGUAAUGGCCUACCAAGCCGACGAUCCAUAGCUGGUUUGAGAGGAUGAUCAGCCACACUGGGACUGAGACACGGCCCAGACUCCUACGGGAGGCAGCAGUGGGGAAUCUUAGACAAUGGGGGAAACCCUGAUCUAGCCAUGCCGCGUGAGCGAUGAAGGCCUUAGGGUUGUAAAGCUCUUUCAGCUGGGAAGAUAAUGACGGUACCAGCAGAAGAAGCCCCGGCUAACUCCGUG
rnacentral:rRNA from 1 species